UAGAGUUCUUUUACACUUGUGCUACCAUCAAAGAAAGGUCGAAUGUGCCAAGAGUUAAGUGGCCUGAAAAUAAAGUUCAAUUUAUUAAAAGAAAAUAGAAGAUACUCCUCUACUAUUACGACAGUGCAGCAAAUUGUGCUAAUUUUCGGAGAAUUGUCGAAUCAGGACCCGGAAUUAUACCUUAGAUACAGAUCGGAAGUAAGCGGUUACCAGCAGCCGACUUGGUGGCAAAUACUCCCUCGGUCCGGUUUCACGGGACGGGUUAAGCUGAUUAGGCCACGAGAGCCUUAUUCCGCCCAGGAAACGCACCGGAGAUGGGACAGCGUAAACCCCUAGCCCAUUAGAGCGGGAAUAAACCGUUCCCCAAGUACCCAGCCACAGCAGCAGAGUCCGAUCAACGGCAGCAGAGGCAGCGGCAGCGUUAACCGCUGCGUGAACGAGCCAAGCAGCCUAAAAGUCCAGCAGCAACGAGCAUCGUCAGCACCCGAAGCAACAGAAGCAGCAGUGAAAGCCCGGCCGGCACAGUAAGACUUGCGAUCGUCCCUUCGAUGUCAGAGCCGACCCUGAGAGCGAGAAAGCAGCUCACGGCCGUGCUAGCCGUUUAAAAGAGGCUAGUGUUGCCCACCCUCACUAGAUCGCCGAUGGUGUUGCCCAGCGAUCGAGGUUUAGUUUUGGUAGGUCCUCCACCGGCCAAGUAAUGAAUGGCGCCCAACUAAAAUACAUAAGCUGAUCAAGGUUUUGGAUAGUCGACAGGAUCUGGAGUGUAUGAGAGGUUAGGAAAGUCUCAGGGAAAUUAGGAGUAGUGCCAAAAGGGUAACAUGAAAAUUAUUUCCCCCAAUCCAAAAUUGAUUUACAUUGCACAAGCUUACUAGUGCGCGUACGCAUGCAAAAGCGAACAAAAAGUGUAGUUAUUUCAUCUAAUAGCGGGAGUAGCGAUUUUUCAAAUAAUUUUGUAUCAAUUAGUGGGUCUUGAUUCGAUCAAUAUAUUCAAACAAUUUCGUUGUUUCAAACAAAGCGAAUUCAUUUCGGUUUUGGUUUCUCAUUAUUUAUUACCUACCAUAAACAUUUAGAGAAGUAGUUGAGUCGGUUAAAGUGUGUCUCAGUAAUUAUAGAAUAUACGAUGGAUUUACAACAGCUCUACAGAAACUUGGAUGUGUCUCAUCUCUCAAUUAACGAAGUUGAGCAUGAAUUAGCGGUUCGAAGUGUUCCAUUUGAUUCCAAAGAACACGAAAGUGUUAAAAGAAGGAAGUUAAAAGAUAAGAUGCGAAUUGAAAGGGAGACUGAGGUUUUUUCUUUUGCCCCAAGCCGAAUGAAAUUAGUUGAAGAAAUUUCAAUGAUUAGUACGACAUUGACGAUUAUUGCCGAUCUACUGGAUAAUCCAAAAUGUGAUAUCCGGCAACGGUUAAAAUUGAAAACACGAGUGAUUCACUAUAGAGUACGUAUAUUUCUGCUUAUGAAAUCUCCGGGAGCAAAUAAAUAUCAGUUAGAGGUGGUAAACAUUGGCAAACGAGCCAAUGAAAUUUUUCAGAAACAUUUUGUUGCGGGAAAACCCGAAUGCAAUACACCCGCACCGAAACCUUUAGAAGAUGAUAUAUCCGUAGCUUUAGAGGACGUUCGAUCUGAAAUUGAAAUUUUGAAUGAAACUGCAACAGGAAAGGAUUUGGAAAAUGAGAUGAUAGAAGAUGAAGCAAGUGGAGGAAUUGGAAAUAAAUCAUCAGAAUCAAAGAAAAAAGAAAUGGUAUUAGCGAUUGAAAGGUCAGAAGACGUGAUGAAGGUAUUGAAA